AGCAGAGUGGCGCAGUGGGAGCGUUCUGGGCCGAUAACCCAGAGGUCCGAGGAUCAAAACCUCGCUCUGUUA
rnacentral:tRNA from 1 species